GUCGUAAAAGGGGACGCGGAGGAGAAGGAAAGUCGCUCAAGCAGUGGACAGAGCGGAGAAAGCGACUUCGGGUUGGUUGAAGGUUCAGCCUGAGAAAACUCCUGAGCAUGUGCGAAAAAGAAAAGAAGAAAAGAAAAGUAAAGAAAAGAAAAAAGGAAAAAGGGCAAGCUCCUGAGUGGAUCUCUCAGGGAGCCACCAGACAGUGAAUGAAGGAGGGAAGAAAGGAGAGACAGAGAAAAUAUGGAUUUCCUCAUGGUUGUGAUUCCUCUUCACUCUUUUGAAUUUGGAAGGAUGGCAUACACAUCUGAAAAAUACCACUACUUCCUUCAUUGGACUGCAAGGUAUUUCUGUUUGGAAAAGUAAUGGAGUCCAGUCAACUUCAUUGAUCGCCAAGGACUGUCAAAAUUAUAAAACUUGCUGUGGAGCUCUGACAUGCCAGAAGCCGCUAGAAAAAGAAGUUUGACAUUCAGAAACUUAUCAAGAGGUUCUACUCUUUGGAUAGAGACCAAAAUCAUACUUUGAAAAAGCCUGACAGGUUUCUUCGGAAAAGUGGCCAUCCAUGGAAUGAAUGAAAUGUUCUCUUUCUAUUCCAGGGAUUGCAGUGGCAAAGCUAGGCUAGGUCUUGGAGGCUGGUGUAAGGCGAUGUGGGUGAAGGCAGGAGGCUGAUGGAAAGACUGGGGGGAAGAAAAGCCGAAAUGGAUUCACGGUGCCUUGGAUGAAGGACGAGAGGGGAACUGCAAGCUCCUUCAACUGGUUCUGUCCGGUGAGAAGUGAUCAAGCUUGGGCUGACAAGAGGCUCAGGGAGCCCUCACGUUCUUUCGCUUUUUUACCUGCCAAUCAAACUGCUACAAGACAACACCCUGAUCUGGCAUGGACAUCGCGGGUCCAAGCCUGUAGCCCCAAAUCGGAUAAUCUCUGCAGCUGAUAACAAGCAAAAGAGAAGCCAGGCAACAGCCAUAUUAAAGAAGAAAACAAUCAACUCUGAGUCAUUGCAGUCACCUGGAGUCACGGAAAUGACCAUGAUUGCCUGAACUUUCAUGACUUCUGUGGAUAACUGUGGUUGCAGAAAAGAGAAAACCUGGACCGUGAGGGACAUUUCACUCCCUGGGCUUUGGUACAUGGUACAUGUGUGGUUGGAUGUGUGUUGCCAGAAAACAGCCUGCCAUGUCUGAGGCUAUGCUCCCAGACUAGCAGCCUGGGUUACAGGGGAAGAGCUGAAGUUGGGUUGGGGAAGUUUAAUAUACUAUACUUUUAAAAUUUUUUUACUUUUGGCUAAUAUUUAUCUAUUUAUUUAUUUUUAUUUUUUGUAGAGACAGGGUUUUGCCAUGUUGCCCUGGCUGGUCUCAAACUACUGAGCUUGAGAAUCUGCUUGUCUUGGCCUCCCAAAGAGCUAGGAUUACAGGCAUGAGCCAUCGAGCCUGGCUCCUUUUAUUCUUUUCAUGACACUACCUCUUCCUAGGAGAGG
rnacentral:lncRNA from 1 species